AACAAGACUGGUUACUCGCAUCAAUGCCUCUGUCUCGUCAUUUAACAUUCAAACAGUAAUGAUGUGACGCUUCUGUGGAUAUGAAACUUGCCUGCAAGCGUUCGGGAUAUUCGCUAGCUACAGCAAAAUAAUUUGUUUAGGGAAAAGUUUGGAAACUCAAGUGAAGUAUAGUGUAUAGUGUUCUCAGACUGUGGUUACGGGGGCCCCGGGAAAGGAAACUACUGAUUGACAGUGGCUGUAUCCUAUGAAACGUCUGUAUCGACAUUCCGUCAUAAAUUGUAAACAAUCAUUCAUUCAAUAUCGGCGGCGGAAGUUGCUACGAGUAGAACGCGGAAGCGAACUGGAUUCAGAUAAUUACUCUUCCUAUACUGUGAAGUUUUUCGAUGGAGUAGUCAAGACCAUUAAUCCAACCAAAGUAAAGCCAUAUAAGCUAGAGAAUGUGAAGGCCCAGGAGAGAGACAUAACUCAAGGUGAGCAGAGCAAUGGGAAAGGUGAAGCCAAGGUGAACGGGAAAGCAGAGAGUUACAAAUCCAAAAAAGGAUCUUCAGACCUGGAGGAAGAAGAGAGUAGGAAAGAUGAAGAGGAGAAAACGCGGAAUGGCAACAUUGAGAACAGUGGACAGAAUGGGAACCUGAACGGCGAGGAGGGGGAGACGGGAGCAGGAGAACUAGGCCAGGAAGGUGUUGGGGAACAGACUGAAAAGCCACAAGUCAAGAAAGAUGGGCUGGCUGUCCAAGCUGAAAGGAAAGAUAGACAGGCUGUCCAAGCUGAAAGGGAAGAUGGGAAGGUUGUCCAAGCUGAAAGGGAAGAUGGGAAGGUUGUCCAAACUGAAAGGGAAGAUGUGAAUGUAGGUGGGGAGUGUGUGAUGAGCAGUAACCAAAGGCAGGAGGAGAAAGAAAGGGAUGUUUCUGGACAGAGUUCCCCGCUGAACUGGUACCGACCUUCUGAAGAAAGUUAACACGAACUGAGAAAGAGGAUGGGUGUGUCUCUUGGACAGAGGCCACCUCCAAAGACGGAAAGGUCAGACACAAGCAAAGACAGAAGCAACUCAUCCCAGUCUCAGAUGCAAGUUAGAUCAGAUUCCGUCCCAAGCGUUAACCCCAGACCAGACAAACACCCAGGCAACCACAGAGGCCAGCAUCGAAGCCCAAUCAGAGAUAGUGUAUAGAGUCAUCAAAAACCAGCCACUUCCAAUCCUCUCCAUUCAACUGGACCACAUCCCCUUCAAGUGCAAAGCUCCUGGCUGCCUGAAGUCCUUCCGGAAGACCUCUCUCCUGCACUACCACACGCCUCCGAACACGCCUCUGAGUACAGCGUGCAGACCCGGGCAUCAGAGAAGGAGGUUGGCUUUCAGGAGACGCCUAGGAGGAGAAGAACCAUGUCAGGCUCUAGACACUCACCCCUGGGUGACAGACAGGCUGCCAUCUGAGUUAACCGUCAUCGUUGGAGAUCACUGAGUGAGAGAAGGAAGUAGAACCAGCAAACAAACAGCGAACCCCAAUGCUGAAAGAGAAUAUGGCGUCAGUGAAACAGUGUUGGAGAGUAGGCUGGACUACACAGGGGAACUGGAUCCUCCUGACCCGUUGACCCGAUUGCCUCAGCUCAAACAUCUCAUCAGACAGAUGGUCAGAGACCUGGGCACCGUGCAUCAGAUGUCCCUCUGCUCCUCCAACACAUGAGUGCGCCACUGAGUUCAUCACUUCACCACAGAGACCUGGCUGGAGCAUGGCGUAGCAAGCAAGACUACAGUACAAAUGAUGGGUAGGGGAGUAACACAAACUGUCAUUAAUCAGUUAUUAUACUAGCAAAACUAUUGUAAUCAGAUUACAGAUCCUUUUGAAAAACUACAUUACUUCUUGGAUUACUUUUAAUAUCAGAAAAAAAAUACAUUAUGACACCUUUUCAGUUUUCUUAAUGACAGUCAAUUCAGCAUUUUUUUUAAAAAGGCGCAAGUUUAAGUUUGUUCCAACUGAGCAAGUCUGACCGGAUGUCAGAGACCACUAUGAUGACACACCAAAUGAUGACCACCAAUCAGAGACCACUAUGAUG